CCUGCCCGACACCGGGCGGCCAUCAGCCGCUGCACAUGCGCGCUGCGAGGGCUGUGAUGAUGACGGGGUCUGUCAGCGCGGCGCUGGGGGUGCUUCACGCCUUGCUGCUUCCGUCCCCUGCCCCCGUCAGUGGUUUGGAGCCACCCGUCUCUGUGUCCCAGAGCAACACCAGCGCUGUUUGUGCUGGUCCUCUCCGCCGUGAAUUGCAGCGCCCGCAGUGACUUGCAUUCUCGGGCUAUCGAGAAUCGUUAGAGCCUCUUGUUCCGGGAAAUAGUGCAAAAUCAAAACCACCUGGAGUGAUGAUCACAGACAGAUGAUCUUAUCCUUCUUUCAACUGCAGAAUCUAAUAGAGCAACCCUAAUGGAUUUUUAAGCGCAGCCAUCCCCUUCUGGGCCCAGUCUGUGAACCAGUCCAGCCUUGGUUGCAGCCAGCCAAUACUCCUUCCCCAGAGAAUGGUUCCAGAAUAUGCCGGAGAGAAAAGAGUGAGAGCCUAUACAAUGGCCUGCCAGGCACAUACAUCCAUAUUCUGGCUCCAGCCCCACCACCUUUCCCUUCCCACCCUUUGCUGUCAGCAGUCAGCUCUUGCACAGGAGCUGUCACUCCACGUUGCCAAUCCGUGAAGCUGCUGCUGUGCAUUUUCCACUUCUCAGCCUGGGGAACAGCAAGGGCAGCCAACAGAAGCAGGGUUUGUGCACAUGUUCUUCCAUGCGGUGCCCCUUGUCACUUUUCCUGCAACAUCUGUGAAUUCAGCUACAGACAGAAUAUGAACGGGAUGUGGAAACCAAAGGCAAAAUCCUGACCUUAGUGAGGUUAAGAGGAAGAUCCCUGACUGACUUCCCAAAGCUCUGGAGGUCACCCUCAUUGCCCAAGUGGGAAUGACGCGAAGGAGUACUUGAUUCUCUUCUUGAGCUUUCAAGAAUUUUAGCAACGUAAAAAGAGUGAAAACACAGCACAGCACAUAAAAUGUAUAAAUAUAU
rnacentral:lncRNA from 1 species